AUUUAAAUAGUUUAUAUAAAAUUUUGAUUUGUGAUUUCAAAGAUAUACUUUAGUAUUUUAAAUA
rnacentral:tRNA from 1 species